rnacentral:lncRNA from 1 species
AAGCCUAGGGCCGAGAUGACUCAUUAGGCCGACGAUAUUCCAAGUCCACCAAGUAUUGACAGAAAAAAGUGUUGCUCGUUGCAUUGCUACUCCAAAAAGAACAGCACGGGAUGAAGCAAAUGCGGUGCAUAAUUUUUUAAUCAUCUGCUCCUCAACAAAUUUGAUCAUGUUGUUUUAUUCCAAUGAAACCAAGGCUUAUAACAUAGCUUAUUAACUUUCUAGUCUUG